rnacentral:rRNA from 1 species
CCUACGGGGGGCAGCAGUGGGGAAUAUUGCACAAUGGGGGAAACCCUGAUGCAGCGACGCCGCGUGAGCGAUGAAGUAUUUCGGUAUGUAAAGCUCUAUCAGCAGGGAAGAAAAUGACGGUACCUGACUAAGAAGCCCCGGCUAACUACGUGCCAGCAGCCGCGGUAAUACGUAGGGGGCAAGCGUUAUCCGGAUUUACUGGGUGUAAAGGGAGCGUAGACGGCAAUGCAAGCCAGAUGUGAAAGCCCGGGGCUCAACCCCGGGACUGCAUUUGGAACUGUUAUUCUAGAGUAUGGGAGAGGUAG